rnacentral:rRNA from 1 species
CUUGUACUGUGAAACUGCGAAUGGCUCAUUAAAUCAGUUAUGGUUUCUUUGAUGGUACCUUGCUACUUGGAUACCCGUAGUAAUUCUAGAGCUAAUACAUGCAGGAGUGCCCGACUUCGGAAGGGCUGUAUUUAUUAGAUAAGAAACCUUCUCGGGUUCGCCCGGUUGUGUGCUGAGUCAUAAUAACUGCUCGAAUCGCACGGCUCUACGCCGGCGAUGGUUCAUUCAAAUUUCUGCCCUAUCAGCUUUCGAUGGUAGGAUAGAGGCCUACCAUGGCGUUAACGGGUAACGGAGAAUUAGGGUUCGAUUCCGGAGAGGGAGCCUGAGAAAUGGCUACCACAUCCAAGGAAGGCAGCAGGCGCGUAAAUUGCCCGAAUCCUGACACAGGGAGGUAGUGACAAGAAAUAACAAUACAGGGCUACUUCUAGUCUUGUAAUUGGAAUGAGUACAACUUACAUCUCUUCACGAGGAUCAACUGGAGGGCAAGUCUGGUGCCAGCAGCCGCGGUAAUUCCAGCUCCAGAAGCGUAUAUUAAAGUUGUUGCAGUUAAAACGCUCGUAGUCGGGUUUCGGGUCGGGCCGAGCGGUCUGCCGAUGGGUAUGCACUGUUUGGCGCGGCCUUCUUUCCGGAGACCGCGGCUACUCUUAACUGAGCGGGCGUGGGAGACGGAUCGUUUACUUUGAAAAAAUCAGAGUGUUUCAAGCAGGCAGCUCGCUCUUGCAUGGUACAGCAUGGGAUGAUUGAAUAGGACUCUCGGUGCU